rnacentral:rRNA from 1 species
AACGAACGCUGGCGGCAUGCCUAACACAUGCAAGUCGAACGAGACCUUCGGGUCUAGUGGCGCACGGGUGCGUAACGCGUGGGAACCUGCCCUUAGGUUCGGAAUAACUCCCCGAAAGGGGUGCUAAUACCGGAUAAUGUCUUCGGACCAAAGAUUUAUCGCCUUUGGAUGGGCCCGCGUUGGAUUAGCUAGUUGGAAGGGUAAAAGCCUAUCAAGGCGACGAUCCAUAGCUGGUCUGAGAGGAUGAUCAGCCACACUGGGACUGAGACACGGCCCAGACUCCUACGGGAGGCAGCAGUGGGGAAUAUUGGACAAUGGGCGAAAGCCUGAUCCAGCAAUGCCGCGUGAGUGAUGAAGGCCUUAGGGUUGUAAAGCUCUUUUACCCGGGAUGAUAAUGACAGUACCGGGAGAAUAAGCUCCGGCUAACUCCGUG